GGCCACAGCCACAUCACCCUGCAGCCCAAGACCAGUAACUCACUGAAGCUAACCAGGGCUGAGCCUGGUCAGUACCUUGAUGGGAGACCACAUAGAUAAACUAGGUUGCUGUUAGAA
rnacentral:rRNA from 1 species